rnacentral:rRNA from 1 species
UACGUAGGGGCAAGCGUUGUCCGGAAUUAUUGGGCGUAAAGAGCUCGUAGGCGGUCUGUCGCGUCGGAUGUGAAAGCUCGAGGCUUAACCUCGGGCUGCAUCCGAUACGGGCAGACUAGAGGCAGGUAGGGGAGAACGGGGAUUCCCGGUGUAGCGGUGAAUGCGCAGAGUAUCGGGAGGAACACCGGUGGCGAAGGCGGUUCUCUGGGCCUGUACUGGACGCGAGGAGCGAAAGCGUGGGGAGCGAACAGG